GUGUCCUGUAAGAACCAAUGUAUAUUCUGGAUAGGUAUUGAAAACCCGAUCUAGCAUAUUUCCUUCCCGCAGCCGCUUGAGCAUACAGUCGACUCCGGCAACCAUUCCACGAUGAGCGGAAGUGUCCGGAGGCAUCCCUGGAGCAUCAAAUCGUUCAGCAUUAGCGACUAAAUCUGUGAACACGUCCCGCAUCGAUAGACUUCCUCUGAUUGAUAUAACGAUGCUCUUGGUACUGUGAUCCGCCAACACACAAAAUGGUAGCUAACCGAAUCGGAGAAGAACAUUGUAUUAGUAUAAGAAUGCAACCUAUUAGGAAAUGGAAUUUUUCAAUUAUAUUUUACGAGAUUUUGGCUGCUAUAUAAGUAACAACCUUUGUUUACCUUCACACAGAUCGUAUACUAUGGAGUGGAUUUCUAUUUUUCUAUUCGGACUACAGGCAGUCUAUUGCUUCGGGAAUGAACAUGCAGUAGCCUCGAUCAACUACAAGCAACAUUCGACAAUCUUUCAACUAGAUGGUAACAAAGGUCCUGUAUUGCGGCAAACAUCCUGUAUCUGUGACGGGGUGAUUUUUAUAGAAAAGAAUCCAGCUCCGAAUUCCAGAUAUUCUUUACCUCUUGACUGUCAUUGUCAAGACUGCGAAGCAUUUGAAUUGAAUGACCACAACGAACCUACAUUCGUUUGCCCAAACAACCAACGAAACAGUAAGGCUCAAGAGCCAUCAAAUUUGAACUAUGAUCAAAGUCAUAGAUAUUCAGAAAUGUCAGAUUUUGGUAAAGAUCAAAGGAGUACCGAUUCAUUUCAACACAUAUUUCGCAAGAAACGAUCUGCUUUCAACUGGGAAAGCUUUCUAGAAAAAAUUUCUAUCAUGGGAAGCCAUGACAGUACGUACAACAAAAAAACUGGAGCCUACUUCCACUACAACUAUGGAAAUAACAUGGGGUCUGGUAGUAAUACUUAUACAACCUCUACCACUGCAGAAGCCUGAACUAUUUUGCGUUAAAUUUGGUACAGUUUGCCGUGGGAAAGCAUUGCAACUUAAAAUGCGUUUUAAUAGAUAUAAUUCAAAAAUCAAAAUUUGUAUGUGUUCCUGGAUAAUUUCAACAAAUAAUAAUAAAUUGAAACCAUAAUUAGCAAUGAUUACAUUUAAAGAAAAAUCUAUUCAUUCACAUUGAACUUCAGACUAAGAAAACAAAACCUACUAAUUUGCCGAAAAGAAUUAUUUAUUUAAAACAUGUAAAAACACGAAAACGCGACAAGAACUGUCAAGAGUAAUUUUCCAAAAACCGGCCCCUAAUAAAUCACUUGCCGGUACUAACUAACUACAAAAGCGGACGCUCAAAUUUUAUUUCAAAACAAAACAUAUCAACGACAAAGCAGCAUUUUGGAAUUCAUUCAACGAAAUGAUAAGAAAACUGCUCAAACGGUGAAAUCAGUUUUAAUUUGCAAACAAGUUAUACAACCUUCUUAUCAAUAGUGGAGAACAAGAACUAUUAGACCUGGGUGAUAGUCACUUUUUACUAUAAAAAGCACCAACUAACUCGAACAAUCAUUCAGAACUUUUUGAAGAACGCUGCAGUGCUACAAUCCUCAACGAAAUGAAUAAAGUUACAAAUAUUGUCAUGUUUCUAUUUUUGUUCGCUGCAAUCGUUGUAAGUGGUCGUUCACUAGAAGAUAAUUUUGGAAAACUACAAGUUAUCCCUCCAGCAGCAGAUAUUAUGGAAGAGAACUCAAACGCACCGGAUAAUAUGAACGAACAAACCUGGAACGACUACAUGAAAGUGCGGAAUUCAAAAUUUCUCGGGGUAGAUAAUGGAUCGGAUAAGCAGUAAAAUUUACGUUUUCCCUAUACUUUUGUGUGAUGAAUAAUAAAAUAUGUUAUAAGAAAAAAGUGUACCUCAAACACGUGAUUUUUAAACGAUGCAUGCAAGACGUCUUCGCUUCGUACUCGUGACGUAUAUCGAACACCGGACACGUGGCAUAGGCAACAGUUGUCAUCAAUGAUGAUUUGAGGUUUUCGUCUGCAAAUAUCGGUUAUUAUGGAAUUAUUGUUCCUACCAGCAUAAUGUGUCAACUUACCGGAAACAUGCGCAACACGUCAUUUUCGGAACUAACCGAUACGGUCCAGUACAGCAGUGCAUAUAGCAAACCAUAGGCCAGCCAUAGGCAGCCAAUGCAAACCGCAAAAAGUGACGAGCAUUUUUUAUAGUCAUCCACGAUGGAGAAGUGGCAAA